GGGGAUGUAAUGUACAUCUAAUUAACAAAUAAUGAUCUCUAACAUCUGUAACUUGAGGUUGUAUUCUCAGGAAUAAUUAUUAAAUGUGUGGCAAAGUCUCUUUCACAUUUUUAAAAAUAUUUGUUUAUUUUUGAGGGAAAGAGACAAUGUGCGAGCACGGGAGGGACAGAGAGAGAGGGACAGAAGCAUGCUCUACAUGGACAGCAGCAAGUCCAAUGUGGGGCUUGAACUCCCCAACCUUGAGAUCAUGACCUGAGCUGAAGUCAGAUGCUUAACUGACUGAAUCACCCAGGUGCCCCCCUCCCCCAUUUUUUUUUUUUUUAACAUUUUAAAAUCUGAUUUGGUCAGAUAAUCUCUAUAAGCAUUCGAAAAUGGCAUUGAUUGAUAUGGCUUCCUCACAUUGUUGCUGAUAAUUGAGCAACUUAAAUUGCUUAAUAUGUGUUCCUCAAAUUAAUUUCAACUUCUGCCUUUAUACAGUCACUGAUUCCAGUGGGUGGUGUUGCUCUUGGCAAGGGCUCUCUCUAAAAUUGUAAAGGUGAGCAAUUCCUUUCCAUCAGCUACCAUGCUCAGCAUUCUUGUAAUAUUUGUGUUUUCAGAUUUUGUCUUCUAUCGAAGGUGAUUUUUUUACUUGCCUUUUUGGGACUCGAAAUAAAGUGUUGGAAUACAGUUCCCCAGGAAUAUCUCACAUGUCUGCUCAGUGUGGAUUCUCUGAAUGAAGAGUAAUGGAUAAUCUCCCUGGAGACGAGGAUGGGAAGAUAUACCAGCAACCCCACAAAACCCUAGAGUCUAAUAUCAUGCAACCCACUGCAUGAUGGAGAGGUGACAUCUGAUCCUUACCAUGUCACGCUGUGGGAGUUGGGGUAUGGGGAGCUAACAAACAAAACUGAUGUGUCUGCUUCUUUUUUUUUUUGGCUGUGAGUAAUAAAUUGUUUCUGACUCAAA